rnacentral:rRNA from 1 species
GACGAACGCUAGCGGCGUGCUUAACACAUGCAAGUCGAACGGCAAGGCCCUGCUUUUGUGGGGUGCUCGAGUGGCGAACGGGUGAGUAACACGUGAGUAACCUGCCCUUGACUUUGGGAUAACUUCAGGCAACUGGGGCUAAUACCGGAUAGGAGCGCCUGCUGCAUGGUGGGGGCUGGAAAGUUUCGGCGGUUGGGGAUGGACUCGCGGCUUAUCAGCUUGUUGGUGGGGUAGUGGCUUACCAAGGCUUUGACGGGUAGCCGGCCUGAGAGGGUGACCGGCAACAUUGGGACAGAGAUACGGCCCGGACUACUACGGGAGGCAGCAGUAGGGAAUAUUGCACAAUGGGCGGAAGCAUGAUGCAGCAACGCCGCGUGAGGGAUGACGGCCUUCGGGUUGUAAACCGCAUUCGCCUGUGACGAAGCGUGAGUGACGGUAAUGGGUAAAGAAGCACCGGCUAACUACGUG